UCCAUUCCAUUCCAUUCCAUUCCUUUCCAUUCCAUUCCAUUCCAUUCCAUUCCACCGGGAUUGAUUCCAUUCCAUUCCAUUAUAAUCCAUUCCAUUCCACCCGGAUUGUUUCCUUUCCAUUCCAUUGUAAUGCAUUCCAUUCCACUGGGGUUGAUUGCAUUCCAUGCCAUUCCAUUCCAUUCCAUUCCAUUCCAUUCCAUUCCAUUGCAGUUGAUUCUAAUGCCUUCCACUCCAUUCCAUUCCAUGCCAUUCCAUUCCAUUCCAUUCUAUUCCAUUCCAUUCCAUUCCAUUCCAUUCCUUUCCAUUCCAUUCCACUCUGCUUGAUUCCAUUCCAUUCCAUUCCAUUCUAUACCAUUACAUUGCACUCGAAUUGAUUCCAUUCUAUUCCAUUCCAUUCCAUUCCAUUCCAUUCCAUUCCAUUGCACUCGGGUUGAUUCCAUUCCAUUCCAUUCCAUUCCAUUACAUUCCACUCGGAUUGAUUCCAUUCCAUUACAUUCCAGUCCAUACCAUUCCAUUCCAUUCCACUCGGGUUUAUUCCACUCCAUUCCAUUCCAUUCCAUGCCGUUACAGUCCAUUCCAUUCCAUUCCACUCGGGUUGAUUCCACUCCAUUCCAUUCCAUUCCAUGCCGUUACAUUCCAUUCCAUUCCUUUCCAUUCCAUUCCAUUCCAUUCCAUUCCAUUCCAUCCGUUUCCGUUCUAUUCCACUGUGUUUGAUUCUAUUCCAUUCCAUUCCAUUCUAUACCAUUACAUUGCACUCGAAUUGAUUCCAUUCCAUUCCAUUCCAUUCCAUUCCAUUGCAGUCGAAUUGAUUCCAUUCCAUUCCAUUCCAUUCCACUCGGAUUGAUUCCAUUCCAUUCCAUUCCAGUCCAUAGCAUUCCAUUCCAUUCCACUCGGGUUUAUUCCACUCCAUUCCAUUCCAUUCCAUGCCAUUACAGUCCAUUACAUUCCAUUCCUCUCGGGUUGAUUCCACUCCAUUCCAUUCCAUUCCAUGCCGUUACAUUCCACUCCAUUCCAUUCCGUUCCAUUCCAUUCCAUUCCUUUCCGUUCCAUUCCAUUCCAUUCCUUUCCAUUCCAUUCCAUUCCAUUCCAUUCCACUCGGGUUCAUUCCAUUCCUUUCCAUUCCAUUACAUUCCACUCGGUUUGUUUCCAUUACAUUGAAUUCCAUUCCAU
rnacentral:lncRNA from 1 species